rnacentral:rRNA from 1 species
UACGUAGGGUGCAAGCGUUGUCCGGAAUUAUUGGGCGUAAAGCGCGCGCAGGCGGUUCUUUAAGUCCGAUGUGAAAGCCCACGGCUCAACCGUGGAGGGUCAUUGGAAACUGGGGAACUUGAGUACAGAAGAGGAAAGCGGAAUUCCACGUGUAGCGGUGAAAUGCAUAGAGAUGUGGAGGAACACCAGUGGCGAAGGCGGCUUUCUGGUCUGUAACUGACGCUGAGGCGCGAAAGCGUGGGGAGCAAACAGG